CAGCGGGUGCGAAUCCCGUCCGGUAACUUUCGUUCCGACCGGUAGCAACUGGAGCAGUCGUGGAGGCAACAAAGUGGCUGAAGCGUCCAGUGUAGAGGGUUCUUUAAGGAAUAGCGCUCAGAAGGCGAUAACUUUC
rfam:Candidatus Accumulibacter sp. S1 isolate 3 genome assembly, contig: ACCAA_Contig_103